UUACUGAGUGAGGGCCCCUCGGGGUCCAACCUCCCACCCGUGUUUAACGAACCUUGUUGCUUCGGCGGGCCCGCCUCACGGCCGCCGGGGGGCAUCCGCCCCCGGGCCCGCGCCCGCCGAAGCCACCUGUGAACGCUGUCUGAAGUAUGCAGUCUGAGACAAUUAUUAAAUUAAUUAAAACUUUCAACAACGGAUCUCUUGGUUCCGGCAUCGAUGAAGAACGCAGCGAAAUGCGAUAACUAAUGUGAAUUGCAGAAUUCAGUGAAUCAUCGAGUCUUUGAACGCACAUUGCGCCCUCUGGUAUUCCGGAGGGCAUGCCUGUCCGAGCGUCAUUGCUGCCCUCCAGCCCGGCUGGUGUGUUGGGCCCCGCCCCCCUUCCCGGGGGGGCGGGCCCGAAAGGCAGCGGCGGCACCGCGUCCGGUCCUCGAGCGUAUGGGGCUUUGUCACCCGCUCUUGUAGGCCCGGCCGGCGUCAGCCGACCCCCUCAAUCUAUUUUUUCAGGUUGACCUCGGAUCAGGUAGGGAUACCCGCUGAACUUAAGCAUAUCAAUAAGCGGAGGAAAAGAAACCAACCGGGAUUGCCCUAGUAACGGCGAGUGAAGCGGCAAGAGCUCAAAUUUGAAAGCUGGCCCCCUCGGGGUCCGCAUUGUAAUUUGCAGAGGAUGCUUCGGGAGCGGUCCCCAUCUAAGUGCCCUGGAACGGGCCGUCAUAGAGGGUGAGAAUCCCGUAUGGGAUGGGGUG
rnacentral:rRNA from 1 species